rnacentral:misc_RNA from 1 species
UUUCCGUAGGUGAACCUGCGGAAGGAUCAUUAAAGUUAUAGUCCCCCGGCCCUCUGGGCUGGGGUCUUCUAUACCACCCUUUGUUUAUUACACCUUUGUUGCUUUGGCAGGCCUGCCCUCGGGCUGCUGGCUCCGGCCGGCUCGCGUCUGCCAGAGGACCUAAACUCUGUUUGUGUAUGAAGUCUGAGUACUAUAUAAUAGUUGAAACUUUCAACAACGGAUCUCUUGGUUCUG